rnacentral:rRNA from 1 species
GAUGAACGCUGACAGAAUGCUUAACACAUGCAAGUCAACUUGAAUUUGGGUUUUUAACUUAGGUUUGGGUGGCGGACGGGUGAGUAACGCGUAAAGAACUUGCCUCACAGCUAGGGACAACAUUUGGAAACGAAUGCUAAUACCUAAUAUUAUGAUAAUAGGGCAUCCUAUAAUUAUGAAAGCUAUAAGCGCUGUGAGAGAGCUUUGCGUCCCAUUAGCUAGUUGGAGAGGUAACGGCUCACCAAGGCGAUGAUGGGUAGCCGGCCUGAGAGGGUGAUCGGCCACAAAGGGGCUAGAGAACCGCCCCUCACCCCUCCGGGGGGAAGGGGGGGGAAAUUUGGAAAAAGGGACCGAGUGUCUGACCAAGAUUUUGUGUGUGCAAGAUGAUUUUUUGCGGAAUGAAAAGUGUUUUCGGUGGGAAAAAACAAAAGGACGGUACAAAAAAAAGAAGUGAGGGCUAAAUACGUG